CAGGGCCUCGCCGGGCUCUGCUCGCCUGGCCUUCCGGCCUCGCCUGAUGACGCCAGAGGCGGGGGCCGGAAGCCGGAAGGACGGACCCACUUCGGCGGGGGGGGGUUCCGCUUUCUCGGGUCCCGCGGAGCCUGUCGGGCCGUAAAGGUUCCCGGCAGGGCGAUGACAGAGUACAAGCUGGUGGUGGUGGGAGCUGGUGGCGUUGGCAAAAGCGCCCUGACCAUUCAGCUCAUCCAGAACCACUUUGUGGACGAGUACGACCCGACCAUAGAGGAUUCAUAUCGGAAACAGGUAGUUAUUGAUGGUGAGACCUGUUUGCUAGACAUUCUGGAUACUGCAGGGCAGGAGGAGUACAGUGCUAUGCGAGACCAGUACAUGAGAACUGGUGAAGGCUUCCUCUGUGUCUUUGCCAUUAAUAACAGCAAAUCAUUUGCUGAUAUCAAUCUGUACAGAGAGCAGAUUAAGAGAGUGAAAGAUUCAGAUGAUGUGCCAAUGGUGCUAGUGGGAAACAAGUGUGACUUGCCCACAAGGACAGUGGAUACAAAACAGGCUCAAGAACUAGCCAAGAGCUAUGGGAUCCCCUUCAUUGAGACAUCAGCCAAAACAAGACAGGUGACGAGCUUCCAUUCUUCCAGUGUGAUUUCUCUCCUGGGUGCUAUAAAUAUGGUAGUGCCCCGGAUCCUCUGUGGUACUGAUGGUCGGGGGCUGGAGAUGGAGAUGUGUAAAUCACUUUCCCAUUUUUACCUUUGAGUUCAAUGUGAACGUGCAGAGUGGAACUUUAAGAACAGCCAUACUGGGUCCGACCAAAAGUCCAUCUAGCCCAGUAUCUUGUCUUCCGACAGUGGCCAAUACCAAGUGCCCCAGGGAAUGAACAGAACAGGUAAUCAUCCAGUGAUCUAUGUUGUCCAUUCCCAGCUUCUGGCAUACAGAGAUUAGGGACAUCAUCGCUGUCCAUCCUGGAUAAUAGCCAUUGAUGGACCCAUCCUCCAUAAACUUACCUAGUUCUUUUUUGAACCCUGUUAUAGUCUUGGUCUUCACAACAUCCCCUGGCAAAGAGUUCCACAGGUUGACUGUGCAUUGUGUGAAAAAACACUUCCUUUUGUUUGUUUUAAACCUGCUGCCUGUUAAUUUCAUUUGGUGACCCCUAGUUCUUGUGUUAUGAGAAGGAGUAAAUAACACUUCCUUAUUUACUUUCUCCACGCCAGUCAUGAUCUUAUAUACCUCUAUCAUGUCCCCCCUUAGUCUUCUCUUUUCCAAGCUGAAAAGUCCCGGACUUAUUAAUCUCUCCUCAUAUGGCAGCUGUUCCAUACCCCUGAUCAUUUUUGUUGCCCUUUUCUGAACCUUUUCCAAUUCCAGUGUAACUCUUUUGAGAUGGGGUGACCACAUCUGCAUGCAGUAUUCAAGACGUGGGAGUACCAUGGAUUUAUAUAGAGGCAAUAUGAUAUUUUCUGUCUUUAUUUAAUUUCUUUUGCUCUGGACGAUAUCAAAACCUCAGUGACUCCUCAGAUUCACAUUGAUGGCCUCAGUAGCUGGGUUCUAAAAAUACCAAGUCCUUACCAACCAGAUGAGAGUUCAGCCAUCCCUCUCUUCUGGAGUAGUUUGUAGUAAGACCAAAUGCUGUUCUUAUGGGAUUUUGUCCCAAAACUGCCAAGUUUCCCUUGGCUUUUAAUUAAGGCCAGUGUUGAAGCUAAGUCAGUGGCAUGUCCUCAGAGUGUGUGUGUUUAUAUAGAGAGCAUUCUUCACUAAUCACCCUGUGUUCGGUAGGCUCCCCCAAGUCAUUGCUCCAUCACUUUGCAGAAUGAAUCUGGAAAGGGGUAAUAAAUUGCUAAGAAAUUGCCUGAAAAUAAAACGUAAACAGGGAGGCAAUUUGCCAUUGAGGACAUAAGCUUCAGAAACCCACCACCUAUAGCUACAAUCAGCCAUUGCCUCCGUUUUUGGAAGGCUGCUGCGUUGGCUGCUUGUUUAUGGUUUCCUCAGAGGGAGAAUUAUCAAAAUCAAGAAUUUAAUUAUGGGAAAUGUGGGCAUAUAUGCUGGUUCCCUGCUGCACUGAAUUGUGGGAUAAGUUGGCCCCUGAUCCUCGUUGUUCCCAGUUGGCUAGGAGCUGCCCUGGAGAGAGAAAUGCGUUUUGAAUAAGUAUGUCAAAGAAUCCUUUGGUGGAAUAGUAAAAUGAUGGAUGGAGGAGUGCAAAGUGACGUCCAAGCACAUGGGGGAGAGAAUGCCUGACCAGGACUCUUUGCAUUCAGGGUGUCGAAGAUGCCUUUUACACAUUGGUGAGAGAGAUCCGCCAAUAUCGGAUGAAAAAGCUCAACAGCAGUGAAGAUGGGAAUCAAGGCUGCAUGGGAUUGUCAUGCAUUGUGAUGUGAUUAGCCACCAAGAAUACCUGGUUCAGAUGUAGCUGGAGGACGAGUCUUGAUGCCACUCUAAAGCAUCUCAUGAUGAUGCCCAGCCAGUACCCUGCUGCCAGCCAAGCAGUAUAAAGUCCUUUUCUGUGCUCCAUCUGAAGAGAACAUCUCUGAACAUCUACCUCCUUGCUUGGCUAACUGAGCAGAGAAAGCCCCAUCUGUUGAUGCACUGAGAUUUCUUUUUUUUUUUUUUUUCCCUGGGUAGGUUCAAACAGAAAACUGGUCACAAGAAAAGUGAACUUUGAACACCAAAUGCUGUGAAAAAGAUGACAACAUUUUUACCUCUAGAGUAGAUGCUAGAAGUGAUGUUUGUUUCCUUUGUAUCAGAUUAAGACCUGCAGGGCUAUCUGAGAAAUGUCACUAAUCACUGACUGGCAGGUAAUGUCAGAAAUGGCUUUGCCACUGUUUCUUAAUACUCUGCUACCUGUUCCAGAUUGGUAUCUGCUCUCUGUGUGCACCACACCGCCUACUCACAGCACACCCAUUGUGUCAUGCCGUUUACUCCGAUCCUCUAUCUUUCUGUAAUAAAAAGGAGAGAUCUUUGUUAA